GAUGAACGCUGGCGGCGUGCCUAAUACAUGCAAGUCGAGCGAACGGACGAGAAGCUUACUUCUCUGAUGUUAGCGGCGGACGGGUGAGUAACACGUGGAUAACCUACCUAUAAGACUGGGAUAACUUCGGGAAACCGGAGCUAAUACCGGAUAAUAUUUUGAACCGCAUGGUUCAAAAGUGAAAGACGGUCUUGCUGUCACUUAUAGAUGGAUCCGCGCUGCAUUAGCUAGUUGGUAAGGUAACGGCUUACCAAGGCAACGAUGCAUAGCCGACCUGAGAGGGUGAUCGGCCACACUGGAACUGAGACACGGUCCAGACUCCUACGGGAGGCAGCAGUAGGGAAUCUUCCGCAAAGGGCGAAAGCCUGACGGAGCAACGCCGCGUGAGUGAUGAAGGUCUUCGGAUCGUAAAACUCUGUUAUUAGGGAAGAACAUAUGUGUAAGUAACUGUGCACAUCUUGACGGUACCUAAUCAGAAAGCCACGGCUAACUACGUG
rnacentral:rRNA from 1 species